GGAUGAGUUGCGAACGGGUGAGUAACGCGUAGGUAACCUGCCUUGUAGCGGGGGAUAACUAUUGGAAACGAUAGCUAAUACCGCAUAACAAUGGAUGACACAUGUCAUUUAUUUGAAAGGGGCAAUUGCUCCACUACAAGAUGGACCUGCGUUGUAUUAGCUAGUAGGUGAGGUAAUGGCUCACCUAGGCGACGAUACAUAGCCGACCUGAGAGGGUGAUCGGCCACACUGGGACUGAGACACGGCCCAGACUCCUACGGGAGGCAGCAGUAGGGAAUCUUCGGCAAUGGGGGCAACCCUGACCGAGCAACGCCGCGUGAGUGAAGAAGGUUUUCGGAUCGUAAAGCUCUGUUGUAAGUCAAGAACGGGUGUGAGAGUGGAAAGUUCACACUGUGACGGUAGCUUACCAGAAA
rnacentral:rRNA from 1 species